rnacentral:tRNA from 1 species
GUGGCUCAGUGAGUAGGGUGCUGGCCCCAUAUGCCAGAGGUGGUUGGUUCAAACCCAGCC